CCUANGGGCGGCAGCAGUGGGGAAUCUUGGACAAUGGGGGCAACCCUGAUCCAGCCAUGCCGCGUGAGUGAAGAAGGCCUUAGGGUUGUAAAGCUCUUUUACCAGGGACGAUAAUGACUGUACCGUGCGAAUAAGCAUCGGCUAACUCCGUGCCAGCAGCCGCGGUAAUACGGAGGAUGCAAGCGUUAUCCGGAUUCAUUGGGUUUAAAGGGUGCGUAGGCGGAAUAAUAAGUCAGUGGUGAAAGCCUGCGGCUUAACCGUAGAAAUGCCAUUGAUACUGUUAUUCUUGAGUAUAGUUGAGGUGGGCGGAAUGUGUAAUGUAGCGGUGAAAUGCUUAGAUAUUACACAGAACACCAAUUGCGAAGGCAGCUCACUAAGCUGUUACUGACGCUGAGGCACGAAAGCGUGGGGAGCAAACAGGAUUAGAUACCCUANUANUC
rnacentral:rRNA from 1 species